rnacentral:lncRNA from 1 species
AGAAAUAGAAAUAGAGAAAUUAAUUUCAAAUGAAGAAAAUCAGGCCAACAUAAUUACAUAAGCGUAUUUUAACAUUUUUUUUCUCAGAUAAUGAAUAUGCAAUACGAUUGGCAUGGAAACCUAGUCAAAUUGUCAUCAAAUCGAUCCUACUUGCCCAUAGUGAGACUACGGACCUUCACUGUUCCACCCCCUCACUGCGGUUACCCAAAAAAUUUCUUUAUAACAAAAAAAGAGCCUCAUUUUUUAACGGUCCACGCGCUUCCUUACUGAUACGGACUUGCUUUUCCCAGCUGUCCAUAACUGAUUUUCAAUUUCUUCCUUGGCUUUUUGGCAGAGAGAACUGUUAGAAAAAAAAAACAGCAGCAACAAUGAACAACAAAGAGCAUAAGCUCAUGAAAACAGCAAGCAAAAAUUGAUAGGCUAAAAAAUAGCCGAAUGAGAAAGUCUACACUUUCAUUUCCAUUACAAAAUAUAUAAGAAUUACAAAAGUGGAAUGUUUACCUAACAAUUUCCACUAAAUUUGGCAACUUGCCAAUUAAUAAUUAAAAAGAUGAAAGCAUUGUAACUACCAUUAUGAAAGCAUAUUAGCUAUCAUUAUGAAAGCAAAAGAUGAAAGCAUUAUAGCUAUCAUUAUGAAAGCAUAUUAGCUAUUAUUAUGAAACCAAGUUGCAUAUCAACUUGUUUCAAUUAUAGCUAUCAUUACAAAUAUUAAAAAUAAACAAAAUAAACAAAAUGAACAAAAUGCACCAAGUUGCUCCUUUGUUGCUUUACAGUCCAUGUUCAACACUCCUCCUUGGACUGUAAGCAACAAACACCAAUUGAUUUCCUUAGAAAUUCAAACCUGAUUGUGCCAAGAGGCUUUGUCAAAAUGUCAGCCAAUUGAUCUUGUGAGCUGCAAUGUAUUAGACUCACUUAUUUGGAUUGGACAACUUCUCGAACAAAGUAAAACUUGAGCUUAAAAUGUUUGGUUUUGCCAUGAAAAACAGGAUUUUUAGAGAUGGCAACUGCUGACUGGUUAUCCACCAAAAUUUCAGUAGGCUCGAGCUGUUCUUCAUUCNNNNNNNNNNNNNNNNNNNNNNNNNNNNNNNNNNNNNNNNNNNNNNNNNNNNNNNNNNNNNNNNNNNNNNNNNNNNNNNNNNNNNNNNNNNNNNNNNNNNAAAUGGCUUGAUUUACUGCUGCAGCAGCUGCUAUGUAUUCAGCUUCAGCAGUAGACUGAGCAACAGUUUGUUGCUUCUUUGAACUCCAACUGAAAACUCCCGAACCAAGUGUAAAGAAGUAGCCUGAAGUACUUCUCAUAUCAUCAACUGAUCCACCCCAGUCACUAUCUGAGUAGCCAGUUAAUUUCAGCUCACUUCCUUUCUUGAACAUUACACCAAACUUCAAAGUACCUUUGACAUACCUGAGUAUUCUCUUUGCUGCUUUCAAAUGAGUUGUAUUGCAGCUGUGCAUGAAUCUAGACAGUAGACUAACUGAAUGCAUAAGGUUAGGUCUGGUUGCUGUCAAGUAAAGUAAACAACCAAUCAGGCUUCUAUACUCCUUUUCAUCUACCUUUUCUUCAUUUCCAAAGCUGCUUACUUUCUCUCCCACAGCUAAUGGUGUGCUCAUUGGUUUGCUGUUUUCCAUAUGAAACUUAGUGAGAAUUUUCAAGGCAAAUGCAUGUUGGCUGAUAAAAAUGCCUUGAUCAGACUGGUCUACUUCCAUACCAAGGAAGUAAGUCAUGAUUCCCAAGUCUGUCAUGUCAAACAUGUCUUGCAUAUUCUUCUUGAACUCUUGAAUCAAAUCGACCCUGCUUCCAGUCACUAAUAGAUCAUCUACAUAUAUUGAGACAAUCAGCAAAGUCUCAUCUUUGGACUUCUUUAUAAACAAAGUUGGCUCACUCAAACUUUUCUCGAAAUUGAGCUUAGACAGGUAAGCAUCUAUCCUGUCAUACCAGGCUCGAGGAGCCUGUUUUAGUCCAUAGAGUGCCUUCUUCAGCUUGUAAACCUUGUCCUCCUUUCCUUGGACUUUAAAUCCAUCAGGCUGUUCAACAUAAAUCUCCUCCUUAAGAAAGCCAUUCAGGAAAGCUGACUUGACAUCAAGCUGAUGGACCUUCCACUGUUUCUGUGCAGCCAAAGUAAACAGGAGCUUUAUGGUGUCCAGCCUUGCUACUGGAGCAAAUGUCUCCUCAAAAUCAAUGCCAAACUGUUGAUUGUACCCUUUCACCACAAGCCUUGCCUUGUGCUUGUUCAAAGAGCCAUCAGCAUUGAAUUUGGUCCUGAAAACCCAUUUGACACCUAUGACCUUCUUCUGAUCAGGUAUGUCUACCAGAUCCCAAGUGUCAUUCUUAUGGAUCAUGUCGAUUUCAGCCUCCAUAGCCUUCUUCCAGCUCUUGCUUCUUGCAGCUUCUUCAUAGCUUGAAGGCUCAACAAUGGCCACAUUGCAUCUUUGGUAGAUAUCAGCAAUAGACCUGGUCCAUCUCACAGGAGUAUCAUCUAUAUUGGCAUUACUGACUUCAUUUUCUGCCAAUUCUAGAUUGCUGUCAAUCUGCUCUUCUUCAAACUGACUUGUGUUAGAGCCAUCUAGACUCCAAAACCUUCCUUCAUCGAAUUUGACAUCCCUGCUUACCAAAAUCUUCUUGGUUGAAGGAUCAAAUACUCUGUAGCCCUUCUUGCAGCUACUGUAGCCAACAAAUAUACCAGGAACUGAUCUCUUCUCAAGCUUGGUUCUUCUUUCUGCAGGGACAAGUACAAAACACAUGCAACCAAACACUUUUAAAUGGGAAACUGUUGGUUUAAGAUCAUACCAUGCUUCAAAAGGAGUUUUAUCAUUUAAAGCAUGUGUUGGCAGCCUAUUGAGCAGGUACACUGAGGUGUUGACACCUUCAGCCCAAAAAAUGUUUGGAAGCUUGCUUUGAAACAACAAAUACCUGGUCAUGUUCAUCACUGUUCUAUUCUUCCUUUCACAUACUCCAUUUUGCUGAGGAGUAUACACUGUGGUCAAUUGAUGAUGAAUCCCAGCCUGCUCACAUAGCUUCUGAAAUCUUUCAGACAAGUAUUCAGAACCAUUGUCUGUCCUCAAGGCCUUAAUCCUGCAGCCUGUUUGAUUUUCUUCCAAUGCCUUGAACUUUCCAAAAACUUCAAACACUUCUGACUUUUGUUUCAUGAAAUAAACCCAGCAAAAUCUGGUCAGAUCAUCAAUAAACAAUAUAAAAUACUUACUGCCAUUCAGUGAAGGGGUCUUCAUUGGUCCACAGACAUCUGAGUGCACCAACUCAAGUCUUUCUCGAGCCCUCCAUGCUUGGUUUACUGGAAAAGGCAACCUGGCCUGCUUACCAAGCUGGCACACUUCACAAACAGACUCAUUUGCAUCAACCUUAAUCAUGUCCUCUAUCAAACUCAUCUUGUGCAGCAAAUUGAGUGACCUGAAAUUAACAUGGCCAAAUCUUCUAUGCCACAGAUCAGCAUUGUCAACUGAACUUGUAUAGGCUCUACUCUCAAGUUGGCUCACAUCCAGCAUAAAACACCUAUCUGCCAUGGGUGCUGAAACAACUUCUCUACCAAGAAUAUCAUUAAUAACACAAGAAUCAUUCUUGAAAACUAGAGAGUAGCCUUUCUUAACCAGCUGACCUACACUAAGUAGAUUUUGAUCUAUUUCAAGUACAUAAAGCACAUCUGAAAUAACCUUGUUACCUGAACCAGUGUUGAUCACAACAUCACCUCUGCCUUUAGCUUCAAUCAGAUUCCCAUUGCCUAUUCUGACCUUUGAAGCAAAACUCCUGUCAAGAUCCUUGAACAGGCUCUCAUCUGAUGCCAUGUGAUGUGAGCAGCCACUAUCCACAAGCCAACUGCAUUUGGAUUUGCUUGUGGUUGUAGAACAUGAGGCAGUGAAGACAUGCUCCUCCUGAGCUUGAAGAUCUUCAGCAGUCUUGGCUUGUACUGGCAGAGUUUGUGACUUUUCUUGAUUUCUACAAAUCUUUUCAUGAUGACCAUACUGCUUGCAGCUCUUGCAUUGGAUGUCUGGUUUGUUCCAGCAAUACUUCUCCAAAUGGUUAGUCUUCUUGCAGUGAACGCAUGGUGGAAACCUCCUUCUACCGACAUCUUUCUUUGAUCUUUCCCUCUUUUCAAACUAAGGCUUCUUAGCUUUCUGACUUGAGCUGGAGCCUUCUCUGACCUUUGCUUGAAAAGCACCUUCAGGACUUUCCUCCUGCCUAGUUGCUCUUCUCUGCUCAAGUGCAUAAAGUGAGUUAACCAACUCAGACAAAGAAAUGGUUGUGAGAUCUCUCAAGUCCUCCAAUGAGGAGAUUUUUGACUCAAACCUUUCAGGUAAGGUGGUAAUAACCUUCUCAACAACCCUGCUGUCACUGAAAUCUUCUCCAAGGAGUCUAAUAUUAUUGACAGUAGCCAUAAUCCUAUCAGAAUAUUGCUUGAUAGUUUCUGACUCCUUCAUCUUCAAAUUUUCAAACUCCCUUCUAAGAUUAAUUACUUGUUGCUGCCUUGUCUUGUCUGAUCCCAUGAACUCCUCUUUCAGCUUGUCCCAAGCUUGUUUGGGUGAGUCACAGGCCAUGAUGCGAGUAAAAAUUACAUCAGACACUCCAUUCUGUAGGCAGGCCAUGGCUUUAUGCUUCUUGGCUCGCUCCUCACCAUGUUGCUUGAUCUGAGCAAUGGUUGGAUUUGCUCUCAAUGGUAGUGGCUCGACAUCAUUUUCAACUGCACUCCACAGAUCAAGUGCUUGGAGGUAAGUUUUCAUUUUAACUACCCAGAUGUGGUAGUUUUCUCCAGCAAAAAUUGGUGGUGGAGGCGGUGCAAAGCUCAUGUUGCUGAAACUGGUUUGACAAACACAAUUUUUGAGUUUAUUUUGAAACAAAAAAAAACUUAAACAACAGAGGUCCUCAAAGACAAGAGGCUCUGAUUACCAUUUGUUAGAAAAAAAAACAGCAGCAACAAUGAACAACAAAGAGCAUAAGCUCAUGAAAACAGCAAGCAAAAAUUGAUAGGCUAAAAAAUAGCCGAAUGAGAAAGUCUACACUUUCAUUUCCAUUACAAAAUAUAUAAGAAUUACAAAAGUGGAAUGUUUACCUAACAAUUUCCACUAAAUUUGGCAACUUGCCAAUUAAUAAUUAAAAAGAUGAAAGCAUUGUAACUACCAUUAUGAAAGCAUAUUAGCUAUCAUUAUGAAAGCAAAAGAUGAAAGCAUUAUAGCUAUCAUUAUGAAAGCAUAUUAG